CGCAUCGUGUACCCGCGGUGCUGAUAUUACAAUCACGCCACCGCGCGUGAUUGCAAGCUUUUCUUUUUGUCGAUGUUGCUGUUGCCAAAGUGCCCAUAAAUGUGAUUGUGUUGGUUGUGCAUCGCGGAGUGUGAUUCGUUUGUGCCGAAUGGUUUUGGUUAUUUUGUUGGCAUGACGGUGAAUGUCAUGACGAUACGCUGACGAUUGCUGAGUAUUAUUCCUUCGAAUCAUGGUGCAUUGCUCUUGUCAACUUCAUUGAGGCUUCUUUCUUUUUCGCAGCCGCGCCGACCAAGGGACAAGAAAUGAUUUUGCUGGCUGCUCGCGUCUGCGGAAAUGCGCGCGAUGAGCCAUUUUUGGAUUGAUAGCAAGAUCGGCGCCCUCGGCUUUUUUGCCUCCUCCACGGCGUGGAACAGUUGGCGUGCCUCGUUGCCGAUAAGACGUGAGAAGAGAGAAGGAGUUUGGCGAGUGUAGUGCCGUUAAGCUACUUACGGUGCGUCGUUCGCGGCUCGUUCCGACUCGGCAAACAACUGAGUUCCUUCUACUACCACGCCGGUCCAAGUUGUGCAACGCCUUGACGAAGUAGUGCGGGACCGUCGACUUCGACAGACAUGCUCCGCAACUCUGGUUAAGCAUCUCAAGAUAAGAACGACCCUCUCGCUGCGGUGACAAACAGCGCACAAGACAGAGAGUCAGAGAGGGAGGGAGGAGCAGCGAGAGAAGUCUUAAUUGAAAAGCGACGCGCGAGUUACCUCGUUAGCGGCAGUCGAAGAUGACAUUGAGCGGAGGACGACGACGAGGACGCUGAUUGAAAACGGGACGGAGAGGCCCGCGGAGUGGGAAUCAGCGCUGAGCGCACGGCGGAGCCGCACAUUUACACGAAAAGAGUGAGAAAUGGCGCACAAGGGAUUGGCUUGGCUCGCGGUGGCGCCGCUGCUGUUUGCUCUCGCCCACUCGCAGCUCACCUGGACGCCCAUUUACGUCGGCUA